rnacentral:rRNA from 1 species
GAUGAACGCUAGCGGCAGGCCUAACACAUGCAAGUCGAGGGGUAACGCGGGUAGCUUGCUACCUGGCGACGACCGGCGCACGGGUGCGUAACGCGUAUGCGACCUGCCUCGCACAGGGGAAUAGCCCAGAGAAAUUUGGAUUAAUGCCCCAUGGCAUGCGGGAACCGCCUGGUUCCCGCAUUAAAGCUUCGGCGGUGCGAGAUGGGCAUGCGUCCCAUUAGCUUGUUGGUGCGGUAACGGCGCACCAAGGCGACGAUGGGUAGGGGCCCUGAGAGGGGGAUCCCCCACACUGGUACUGAGACACGGACCAGACUCCUACGGGAGGCAGCAGUGAGGAAUAUUGGUCAAUGGGCGGGAGCCUGAACCAGCCAUGCCGCGUGCAGGAAGACUGCCCUAUGGGUUGUAAACUGCUUUUCUACGGGAAGAAACACCCCCUCGUGAGGGGGCUUGACGGUACCGUAGGAAUAAGGACCGGCUAACUCCGUGCCAGCCGCCGCAGUAAAAC